GAAUGUGCCUUCGGGAACCGUGAGACAGGUGCUGCAUGGCUGUCGUCAGCUCGUGUUGUGAAAUGUUGGGUUAAGUCCCGCAACGAGCGCAACCCUUAUCCUUUGUUGCCAGCGGUCCGGCCGGGAACUCAAAGGAGACUGCCAGUGAUAAACUGGAGGAAGGUGGGGAUGACGUCAAGUCAUCAUGGCCCUUACGACCAGGGCUACACACGUGCUACAAUGGCGCAUACAAAGAGAAGCGACCUCGCGAGAGCAAGCGGACCUCAUAAAGUGCGUCGUAGUCCGGAUUGGAGUCUGCAACUCGACUCCAUGAAGUCGGAAUCGCUAGUAAUCGUGGAUCAGAAUGCCACGGUGAAUACGUUCCCGGGCCUUGUACACACCGCCCGUCACACCAUGGGAGUGGGUUGCAAAAGAAGUAGGUAGCUUAACCUUCGGGAGGGCGCUUACCACUUUGUGAUUCAUGACUGGGGUGAAGUCGUAACAAGGUAACCGUAGGGGAACCUGCGGUUGGA
rnacentral:rRNA from 1 species